rnacentral:tRNA from 1 species
GCGCUUGUAGCUCAAUGGAUAGAGCACCGGCCUUCUAAGCCGUAGGUUGCAGGUUCGAGUCCUGCCGGGCGCACCA